UGUCAAUAAAAGACUUUCCCUUGGAAAAUAUAUGCAAAGCCAAAAUGAUGACUGUAGUUCUAAAUUAAAAUUUAAGUCUUAAAAGAUACAAAAGAUCUCAAAUGCACUGACUCAGUCAUGAAGAAUUAUAUAUUGUCACUGGGCAGAAAUUAUCUGAAAAACAAUGAGAAAAGUUAUUUCACAGAACUGACAACAUUUGACUGACCUAAAGUGGAACAAAGAGAUCUCUCAAUGAAGCUGCUCUAAGCAUUAGAGUCAUAAAAGUAGAGAAGACACUGAUGGCUGUGUUUAGUUUGUCCCAGAAGGAGAAUCCACCCAUAUGAGAAGCAAUUCUUUGAGUCAAAAGAUGUUUCUCCAGAACAAAUAUGAUACCCAGAGAACCUGCCAAAAAGUCAAUGUAAGAAAAGUUUUUUGUGUAGUCUAAAGAUAUUUUGUAUGAGCAAACCCACAAAAAUCCUUGUGAACCCAGCAGAAAAACUUCAGAACAGACCUGCCCUUUGACAGCAAGGGGCUAAUGCUGAAAUUCCAGGAUUUGCACCUAUUUGGCUUUUCCAGUGCAGGACUGAAGAACCCAUUGAGAAGAACAGAGAACACAGCAAGAGAACUCAUGUAGACCUGUACUACAUUCUUCAGUUUCAAGAAUCCCAGGAGCAAAGAACAUCUCAUGGAAAGCACCCAGCACUUGGGAAGCACUGUUAUGUUCAAAAUAAAGGCAGGGCAGAAGGAGGGAAAAAGUAAUUAGCCCAUGGUCCUCACUGGACAAGCAGUAUACUUUAAACAAAAGGAGGUAUUUCUUUACCUAAAAAGCUACAAGACUUUCUCCAAUAAACUUGGGCUGAAUAUUCAUCUUUAACACUAGCUGACAAUUAGCAAGGCAGAUUUAUUAAGGCUCUCCCAGGGGAAGAAAGACAGUAUAAAUAAUAAAUACAGGUUUCCCCUGUAUUUAUUGUUUAACCUGUUGAAAGAUACCAAGUCGGGAUGGUGAAACAAUCCCUGACACUCUUCUUUCAAGUGGCUGUGAGGUUCAACCCAGAUGGCAGACAAAAUUUAACCCAUCUGAAAGCUGGGGAAACAAAGGGGGAAAAAAAUUACAUUGGUUUAGCACUGGCUGGGUAACAGCUACGAGCCCAAACUCUUCUUUUCUGAGCCAGCCCCACCCUGGCACAGAACAGGAGGCUGGAACGAGACUGCCAGGGAUGCCAACAGGCACUGAGGUCCAAGCAUGGAAGAGUUAAGACCAGAGAGGUUCAAUAAUUUGUUUUGAAGGCCAUGACUUCCAGUAAAGCAGCCGUUCCCCGCUCAGUUGUGAACCAACAUUAACACAACAUGCGGUAGAAAUUCCUGGGAUUGGCAUUUUAUUAUGUGGCUCAGCCAAACCCAAGCAAUCCUGCUGAGCCACGAGUUAAACAAGGGAUGUUCCACUCUUCCAGAGGUUUGUGAUUCAAAGGCUUCCUGUAUCCUGCAGUUUUUUCUAAUAACCACACCUAUGUGGCAGGAAUCCUGUCCUCCCAGCUAUCAUGCACCCUACUCUUUCACCGUGCACAGUUAAAUCUAAAAUAAACAAACUAAAUUAUUUAGUUAGAGGUGAAUAAUACACCACAGUGGUGGCAUUUCAGAGACUUCCACAGUCUCUUGUGCAAAGCUCUGAAUUAUCAUUCUUGUCUGAGGUGGGUCCUGACUUCAUGCCAGGUUUAAAGAGUGGCUAGAAGUGAUAACCCUUAUCAACUCCCCACUUGAAACCACACUGUCGCAGUUCUGGUGGGGGAAGGGGAACAUUGCUUAAAAGCAGUGAAAAAACAAGUUACAUCUGUUUAAAAAAUUUACCUAUGGCAUAUAAAAUACUGGAUUCCAACUGUCUCCGAUUCCUCAGUCUAACAACAAAUAUUUUGGAACUACUUCAUAAUGGAAUAUGAUCUCUAGAGUGGAAGUGGUUCUGGUUUUAUUUGUGCAUAUUGUGCUGUUCUGUGAUGGUGCUUCAGAAAUAGCACUGAUGGGCUCCAGGAAGAAUCCAAAUUCCCCAAGAAGAGGUCAAUAAAGACAAAUAAUAGAAGACUGAAAAGAAGGGGAUAAAGAGAAGAAAACAAAUUUUGUAAGAGCUCAUUAAAAACAACUGCAAGUGUCCUGAGGCAAGGAGAAGUCCAUUGUACAUCAGCCCUUAGAAAGGCAGAGAAUCCUUAAAAGCUGAAGACUGUGGAAAGGAAGUCAGAGAGAAACUAAGCUAUUUUUAAGUCUGGCUUAUGGUGCACUUGUGUAUGAAAGGAAGAUUUUAAAUAAACUAUGGUAUGGACUAAGCUUGAUUAGCUCUUCAGCCACUCUCUUCAAAGAACUCUUUCCUCCCUUUCUCAGAAAACUCUCCUCAACCUAAGCUAGUGCUGACCAACAUCUCUGGACAACAGGCUGCACAGCUCAAAGCAACUGUGGAGUGGUGCUGGAAGAAGGAUACCAGCAUUCCCUGUGGUUUAUGUCUUUCCAGCUUCCCUCUCCUGCCUUUCUGGGUCUCCACCUAAUGCAGAACUCGCUGUUUCAAGUACUGAUCCAGCAAAAAGGCUGUGAGCACAAUCGAGCUCACAACACAGUCACUAGUGGUGGUACACAAAAACACAUCUUGGAAAAAAGAAAAGCCAGACUGAGAUGCUUUCUGGGAUGGCUCAAAGUCCUCAUGAAACCACUGGGCUGCCCUGGUAUAGAGGGCUGGGCCCCCUGGCACCUCCUCUGCCCACAGAACACACCUGCUGUGUUUGUACAGAGUCACUAUGGGAAGACACCGCCUCUGUCCCCACCAGAGAGGUCAGGAUGCCAGCACAGCAAAGUAUCCUUGAGUAAGCAGCUGUCCAAGACCAAACCAUUCCCAGAAAGACAGCAAUCCACAGGCUGCUGGGCUGUCUGUUCCAGCAGCUCAGAAAUGGAGAGGAGGCGGCAAGACAGGUGACUUUUGCCAGAAUUCAGAACCCAUGCAUCAACAGGAUUGGCCUCUGAAAUGUCCUCCCCAGUCACACUCCAUCACAACCCAGCACGUGGCUGGGGGAGGUAAAACCAGUCAAGAAACCAAACUGGUGGUCAGGAACACACAGUGUCACCCCCAGACAGCUCACCUUGCCCCAGCAUAAAGAGGACAACAAGGAUGACUUAUCCUUCUGAGUCACAACAGCCUCUGAGUUGUGGGUUGGCUGCCCUACCCUGAUGAGUCUCUCCCUGUUCCUGUUUACCAAGCAGAGAUCGUGUAGUGGGGAAAGAGAGGCUGUGAGAUGUGCUGACAAAUCACCACCAAACAGAACCAUGUAUUGGAGGGAGGGAGGACAAGAGUUCAGUGCUGCAAAUACAGCGAAGGUUGAACUGUUACGAACAGUGCUGGGAUAAAAGCCCGAGUUAUUUGUGGCAGCUCAGGAACAGAGGAGUCACAGGCAUUUCUGCCAAUCUGCUCAUCUGAGGAGUGCUGGAAGCAGGCCAUUCACAGAUUCAUGGAGAGGUUUGGACAGGAAGGGACCUUGGGACAUUCCUUCUUCAUCCUUCUGCCCAAAGCAUAAGUAACUCUGAAAUUUCUAUCAGUUAGCAGACUGAGGGCUCCCUCAGGCAAAUUUGAUGAGGGAGAUGCCAGUGCCUUUCCAGGCAUCCUGUUUGGGUGCACAACCAUUUUCACAAAGGAAAAUUCUUUCUUUUGUCCAGCUGGCAUUUCCUUUGCCACAACUUGUGACCCAUUGCCUCUUGUCCUUUUGUUCCAGUUGACAACACUCAGGUGACAAGCACACAAUGUCUCAGGAAUCAGCAAGUCUUAAAACAAAACUGUUCAACACUUUGAAUGGAAUUGAGGGUUGCUGCAAUCCUACCCUUUCAUCUCUCAGCUUGGGCCAUCCCUUUAUUGACUUGCCUUCAAUUAAUAAAGGGAACCCUGAAAAGUGUCCUCAACUUAAUGAGAAAAAAAAAAAAAGGAGCAAUUUCUGAAAGUGACGUCAGUAGAUGAAAUCAUCGUCCAUUACUUUUUGGCCAGCUUUCCACCAGUUAUCUCCCUGAACCAGCUCACCAUAGAACAGGGUAACAAUCUGUCUGCAUGAGGGAAGGAGUAGAAGCAUACAGCAAAUGCAAGGGCAGAAUCCCACAGCGCUGACAUAUAUCAUCCUAAAGUGCUGUGGAACCACUCCCUGUGUGCUCAGCACAGACAAGGAGGUGACAAGAGGGCUGGGACAAGAGACUGCAAAUUAAAUUCUCCUCUGGUCUGAGGGUAAGAACAUCUCCCCCCCCUCAAGAAGUAGCAACAGAUCAACAGACUGACACAUCUGAUUUGUUCCAUGUUAUCUAGAAAUCUUGUCAAGACAAUUUUUCAAUGAUAUCCUGGCAGCCUCCCCUCUCCCAGAAAAAAAAAAACUAAACAAAACUGCACAAAAAACAAACUCAGUAAAUCAACAUGACCUCUUAUUUAUCAAGACUAAAUCCACCAGGAUAAAAAAUAGCCACCAUUCAACUAAAAGUAAGUUUGAAUCACACUUGUCCCUCUCAAAGGACUGUGGUUUUAUCUCACGAGCAGUGAAAGAUCCAAAGCUAAGAAAAGCUGAUCUAUCUCAGAAGUUUCUUACAUACACCAAAUGGACUUUUUGGAUACUGUACUUGCUUUGAAAUAACCACCAGCAAAUGAUUUUACCAAUGCUGAGGCAGAAAAGUCCAGUGAUGACAAAGGCAGAGUUUUCAUAAAUCAUUUUGUUUGCUUCUUUAACAAAAACACCUUUCUGGGGCAGGUGCAUUAAGGCAUAGGGGAGACAAGGCAGUGCAAAAGAGGAAAUUUUUCUACCAACUGUGGCAGGGCAAAGCAACUUGUGCCUGUGCUGCUGCAGUCCCCCCCUCUUCUCCUGUGCUAGCUCUGGGGUGAGCACAGGAGUUCUCAGCCUGGAAAACAGGGGGAGGCAGGGAUGUGUGUUUUGACUGCUAGGAUGUGAUCUGGUGGGAGAAAACAGGAGAGAAUCAGAGCAUACUGGUUUUAAAUCCCCUUAAUCCAAUGAAAAACAGGGGAGAAGUUAAAACGGUGGUCCUGACACCUGAGUCAUCUCCACAGCUCAGGUUUCUUUCCCACAGUGACAUUACCAAUCUAAAAUGGCACUGCCUGAUGCCAAUUCAAGAAGCCUCUUAUCAGAGCAUGUCACACACAGGCAACAUCCCUUGGCAGGCUGCAAAAAGCAUCUUGUGAACUUUGGGAAUCUUCUCCAUUAAGAGUCACAGGGAGCUUCUAUCCCACUUCUUAUCUGAAACCUUAGAUUCUGUUGUUUAUUAGCAAGUGUCAGUAUCUACCCAGAGUGCAGAACCCUAAACUAACAAUGCUGAGCACAGAAAAAUAACAGUUUUGAGCAAAAUCAGACUCCUCAACACUUCCAGAAAUUCACUUCACAAAAGCCUUUCUUGAGCAAGUCUUGUUUCAAAACCAAAUCACUCACAUUUUAAACCUAAAUGUGAAAUGCCAUCACAAACUCCAGAAAGAGAUACACAGGGAAUAAUUUCACAUCAUUUCCUCACUACCUCAUACAGAAGACAAACCAGCUCUAGGGCAAAGGCUGAAAUACCCAUUCUGAAAACCUCUUCCUCUCCCCCUUGCUAAAGGGCUUCCUUCCAGUGUUAUUCCUAAGGACAGGCUUUGCCACUUACACUGCUUGAAAACUUCAUUCCCUCAAUCCCUUCCUCAGAUGUCUGGACCUUCAAUCCUUUCAAAUGAAGUCACCAUGAUGGAAUAAACACUGUGGAGCGUCCUCAGAAGAGAUCUCUGCCACAGUUCACUAGUACAACACACUGAGCCUCCAGCAGGAACAAUUCAAACUAUUAAAGGUGAGAUACACAAAAGCACCUUCUCAAGUGACAGCCAGGCAGCAGCUACAGUGGAAAUUCACAACCACAAAUCCCCAGCACCACCCUGUGCGAGAUAAAACUUGGAUCUGUCUCUACCAGCAAAAGAAAAACAAGGCACAGGAAUGGCUGAGACAUCAGAGAGGCUCUCAAAGCCUCGGCACUGCCCUGACCUCAGAUCAGAGCUAUCAGCAGCUCCUGUUCAGGUUGUUGUGUUAACACACAUGGUUCUGUCUCUUUGGAAUUAUUCUUGGAAAGUCGCUGUAAUUACAGAAUACAAUAAAAACAACAGAUCA